CGGGGUUUAGCGCAGUUUGGUAGCGCACUUGGUUUGGGACCAAGGGGCCGGGGGUUCGAAUCCCUCAACCCCGACCA
rnacentral:tRNA from 1 species